rnacentral:rRNA from 2 species
UGGGGAAUAUUGCACAAUGGGCGCAAGCCUGAUGCAGCAACGCCGCGUGCGGGAUGACGGCCUUCGGGUUGUAAACCGCUUUCAUCCAUGACGAAGCGAGAGUGACGGUAGUGGAAGAAGAAGCACCGGCUAACUACGUGCCAGCAGCCGCGGUGAUACGUAGGGUGCGAGCGUUGUCCGGAUUUAUUGGGCGUAAAGAGCUUGUAGGCGGUUUGUCGCGUCGGGAGUGAAAACUCAGGGCUUAACCCUGAGCCUGCUUCCGAUACGGGCAGACUUGAGGAAGGUAGGGGAGAUUGGAAUUCCUGGUGAAGCGGUGGAAUGCGUAGAUAUCAGGAGGAACACCAGUGGCGAAGGCGGAUCUCUGGACCUUUCCUGACGCUGAGAAGCGAAAGCGUGGGGAGCAAACAGG